GCGGAGGAAAAGAAACCAACAGGGAUUGCCCUAGUAACGGCGAGUGAAGCGGCAACAGCUCAAAUUUGAAAGCUAGCCUUCGGGUUCGCAUUGUAAUUUGUAGAGGAUGAUUUGGGGAAGCCGCCUGUCUAAGUUCCUUGGAACAGGACGUCAUAGAGGGUGAGAAUCCCGUAUGUGACAGGAAAUGGCACCCUAUGUAAAUCUCCUUCGACGAGUCGAGUUGUUUGGGAAUGCAGCUCUAAAUGGGAGGUAAAUUUCUUCUAAAGCUAAAUAUUGGCGAGAGACCGAUAGCGCACAAGUAGAGUGAUCGAAAGAUGAAAAGCACUUUGGAAAGAGAGUUAAAAAGCACGUGAAAUUGUUGAAAGGGAAGCGCUUGCAAUCAGACUUGUUUAAACUGUUCGGCCGGUCUUCUGACCGGUUUACUCAGUUUGGACAGGCCAGCAUCAGUUUCGGCGGCCGGAUAAAGGCUCUGGGAAUGUGGCCUCCACUUCGGUGGAGGUGUUAUAGCCCAGGGUGUAAUACGGCCAGCCGGGACUGAGGUCCGCGCUUCGGCUAGGAUGCUGGCGUAAUGGUUGUAAGCGACCCGU
rnacentral:rRNA from 2 species